rnacentral:lncRNA from 1 species
UCACCUGACUUUGAUCAGUUAGUGUCCUGGCCACCGUACUGAUUAAGGCAUCGUACCCGAUGUAUGGGAUGCAUUUGAUCAAUUGCUUGAACGUCGAGGCAACUGGGUCCUCACAGGUCAGUGCAUGCAAGCAGAUUUCGAAUGUCGACAUCGAGCGGGUCACACCCAACGCCACGGAAUCAAGUGAACGCUGAAUAUGGCUAAUGUUAUCUCUAUUUCUGUCUGUGUGGCUGUGACCAUUUACCGUACAAAGGUGGCCCUAUGGACGGGACGAAUGGCACACGCAGCGGCAAUAGUGAUUCAACCUGUUUGACCUAUCGAUGGUUCCGUUCGCUACCGUUUACGAUGCCGGUCGAUUUGGCAAACGUAUUGACAGACAAGGUCCAAAAGCAAAUGCUAAGUUGUCAUCACGACUAUCAGAGUAGGAAAAAGAGACGUAAAAAUUUACCAACCGUGACAGCUGGUUAUUGCCUGACGAGUACGAGAUGUUACUGCAGAUGUAAAAAAUGACACAUGGUUGAGCGUGCAUUUAAUAUCAGUUAGCGCGAAGAAAAUGCCGGCGUGUGUUACUACGACAAUGGAUCUGCAAUCAGCCAAAACGCUCAUGUCAAGACCGCCGAAAUCUUCCACCGCAAACAGAAGGGAUGCAGAUCUAUUUGAGAGCUUUUACAGCCGAACAGAUUUCCUGCAUAGAUGCUUCCAAUGAUCGUGAUCAAGAAACUGCCGUUUGCUGACGCCGAUCAUCAUGAUGAGGGCGCGUGAAGUCUAGCUUCUAAACAAGUUGCCGCCGCUACCGCUUCUGCCAUAUCGAAGCAAAGAGGAAAAAAUGCCGAGAAGACAACGGGUUCUGGAGAGGGCGGGGAAGUUUGCUGUUCAUCUUUUAUUACAAAUGCGACCAACUACAUAACACUCAAGAACGACUAUCGACGACAACAUCAGCGCCAAGUGCGUCAACAGCGCAAAUAUUCAGUGAAGGCGAUUAUCUGAGAAGUUAACUUGAGUCAACCAUACGUAAAGAAUACACUUAUGCGAUUGCUGGGGUCUUCGACGACGAGGGCCGCUUUCAGUCAGGUGGCGUCAAACUAAAUAUAAAAGUAACUAUCGAAAACUACAUGGACCCCUAUCGAGGUGAUAUAUUAUUUCGUCGCAUGAUAAUAUGAAGAUCUCAUCUGCAGCAGACAAAUAUAAGGUCCUGUACAAUUAAGCCCCACAAUCAGACAUGCUUUCUGUUCUCUGAGACACGUAUCUGUUGUAUAAUAGCGGCGUGCACAGUUUUAUUCUGAAUUUCAGUAUUGUCUAGCUAACCUAAGAUAGGUUAGCAUUUUGUUCCAGAUUAGAUAAUGAGACUGUUUUGCUGAAAGGAGUUGUUAAUGAAAAAGGGUUCCGGGGGGAAAAAUUAAACCCCAGUUCGGCGAUGAUGAAUGGAGCUACCUGCACGCACAACUCUUAAGAACGAAACACUUUGCGCAUAUGCCCAGCUACAAUGUAGGAAUGUACAAUUGGAGGAAAGUUCGUUGAAUAAUAGGAAUGAAGAGCUCUGGACAGAAUGCGUCGGUCACAAUUGUCACUCUACGAGUUGAUAUAAAAAAAAAAAGUAGCCGACGCAGAUAUGCACGAGUGGCAAAACACCAAUGAGCGAAGGAAGACUUAAGAUGGCAUCGUUCGAAACAAACCAACAACAAUAACAAUACGACCGCCGGAACAACUGAGGUGAACCGUACGCAGUUACGCCAGUCUCUCAACCUCUGAGGGGACAAAAAAAGGUCACAAUCUUACAUCAAAGGCGCCAUAUUUGAACGAAUCUCGCCUCGUACGUGCGCAAUAUGACUGAAGACUGCGGGGUUUCAGCCUGCACUGUGGAAAAUGCAACAGGGUGUUCUAUAAAGUUAGUUGACGAGACCGACCCUUAAGCUAAGCCAGCAAAACAAUGGCAAUGUAGACCAUAUGGCUUGCCUGUUGCAAUGGGCUGGCACUGUACUGGACGGCCUUGUUUAACGAACGUUUAUUCCGGACUGUUUCGUCCUCAUAUGCGGGAUUUCGUUAUCCCAAAAAGCAAAGGCGACACAAGCCAACCGACGCCGAGGCGAGGAGUCACGAAAACGUGUUUGCUAUGCACUGCCUUUCUAUCCGCUGGCAAAAAGAUUGGACGCGUUCCUAGAGAGUAUGAGUGCAACAUUCAAGAAACAACACGAUCAUAGGAAAAAGACGUGCAAGGUCCCCCCUUGCCGAUAUCAACUUCGGCCAGACUUUAUGGACUUGAAAGCUGCUUUCGACUCUCUCUCAAGGAAUAUAGCCUAAAGUAUCCUUGCCGACGUACGAGCUUCUGCAAAAGUACUUAGUAGCAGCGAUACUGCAAAAGAACAGCGCUAUCUAUAAUCGAUGCUGGUGUUUUGAAAUCCAGACUACAGGUUUAGCCCGGGGUGAUCACUGAAGCCCUCUCCUUUUUUCGGUUUUGCUUAUCCCGGGCAAGAUGCGGGGGUUUACAAAUAUGGUGAGGAUUUGCCUCUGUGCAGGAUUUUUACAGGAACAGUCGCUUCUAUCUGCAGCACGCUACAGCCAGACCAGAUUCCGUUGUCUCGGAAUUGAGUCUAACCAUCAGUCUAAUCAAAGCCGAGGCAACUGAAAUCAGGAGAAAUAUCAGAGUCGCGCUUUGUGACACGCUAUACCUCUCGAGUCAGCCACCGACAUAUAUAAGAUGUAUAUUCGCCCCGCUGAAGCUGCUGAUCUUUCUUCCUACCAAACCAAACCAGACCAAACUUUCUUCCUUCUUCAAAGACAUACGAAAAAAUGUAGAAAGUCUUGAUAACGUAGUCCUCAAUAUUUAUACCUACCGAUUGCACCUCUUAAACACUUUACGACAUUUCCACCUCAAGGUUUCACCAGUUGCCACUUGCGGGGUGGGCUUAAUUUAGAAACACUUAAUAAUAUUAGAGGACUUUUCCUCAAAAGAAUCUUGGAACUGCACAGGACAACCCGUAACAGGCAUGUUUACCUAGCGGCGGCUGCAGCGACGUCACCGUUUACCAACCACCUACUUCGCAGUUUUAAUCUACCCGCAACACGGACGCUUCAAAAAAGCAAGUGAGAGAAGCUGUAAAAUGGAACCGAAAGGGGCGGAGGUUGACCCCGAAUGGGGGCCAUCACAGAUACGACGUGGAAAGGAUUUGACCGGCCUAUCAAGCAUGUGGUAACAGGCAAUGCAGUACACAAUUUCUACCAUCACCUAUUGAAAAUACAGGAGUUCUGUUAUGCGUUUGUAUUAAAUCUAGGCAACCAUUUGGUUUGUAUCAUACUUUCGACUAUUCACAAACUCAAUCGCAAAACAGUCUGACGCAGUAAUUAACCGAGGAAUGGCACUUGUAUAACGCACUUAUUGGUGGGCCCUAAACAACUUACCCCGUAGACGUUGAAUCAACCAGUUUAGAAACGUUAUCUUUAGCCAAGCUUGUGAAGCAAUCAUAUAUAUGGUAUCGGAUAGGGUAUAAAGCUUAGUACGCCAAGUUGCCAUAAAUAUAUAUAUUUCGAAUUUUAUCUGGCAAAUUUAAAUAAAUGGAUUUAUCGGAUUGAUUAUUUACAAGUUUACAAACUAUUCCAUAUAUUCUUUUAAAAUCUCGUUUUUGCUAUACGAACAUCUCCUCUUUCGUUGAGACAUGUAAAAUGCGUCGCUACUGGUUCCGUGCGCUGUUUUUCCACAGCUUUUACGUAACCCUUUAAUUGAAUCCAUCCCCCUUUUGCUUAUCAUUUAUAGCCACUGAUACAUAAUUAAAGUGCAACUUCUAUAAACGUUGUGUUUGUAAAUAAUCUCAACUAACUUAUCAGCUUUAACGUUCAACAGGCUACGACCAAGAACUGCUGCCAACUUCGAAACCUCAUAUUAAAGGCGAGACAAGCAUCAUUACGUCCGCAAAUCUGCUAUAAUUUAUUAUUAAUUAAUUAAGAUUAAUGGCUUCAUUUAAGUGUUCCAGCUGUAGCGGUUCGCUAUUGUAAUGUAUUGGCUGGAGUAGUGACAGUACGGUGAUACGCACUUGUGUGUAUAUACGUGUUAAUAUUCCUAUAUAUUGUACGUAUGUGGUGCAAUAAAUGAAGGUACCCGCACGCACAUUAGCCAGGGAAGGAUUGUUUGUUAGCAGACGGGGACGUGAGUCAAUAUUCGAAGUCCAUUAUGAAGAUGCCAUUCUAACGAAAGAGCUUAGCGAUGAAAGCCAAUAAAAAACGAUUUAAAGCCGUUCUCUUGAAAAGAUAGCCGUAUGACGACUGCGGCCGGUGUAUCUCGUCGGCUAUGGAUGAAGUUACGUUCUGAGUGCGUCUGUUCGCGCGGACUUCCUUCACUAGUCACCUAUAGCUGCUCGCUGAUGAUGAUUAAUGUGCAAACAAAUCAAAAUAGAAAAAGCUAUUUUUUUGUACUUCAGGCGAAAAAAAGCCCGUUGUCACACAACUUGGGAAAGGCGCUUUUUCCCGAGUCAUCUAAUUUAGAUGUGAAACUGCUUGUGCGAUUAGGGUCUUCUCAUGUCGAGGUUGCGCUGUCACUAAGUUGUUCGUAUCACGCGUUCCUGUGCCAAAUUGUGUUUACAUUCAUUUAAUAUAAAGUAAAGGGAAACAUUUUAUACGGCCGGUGACUCUAACAGGUUCAUAUAUUAGAUAAAUAUUUUUUUUAACAGCCUAAAAUGAGUUCUAACUCUCUUGUCCUAUAUAGAGAUACCACUGUUUUUCAAAUGUACAGUUAUCAUACCCCAGGCCUUCCUGAUACCAAACCGUAGCCGGCCUCUAAUAUAUGAGUUUACGAAUCUUAUCCGAGAAGAGCACCCUAAUGGAAUUAUUGAUUGAUAUCAAAGAUUUCUGUUUCAAUCGUACGUGCGACAAGGUUACGUAUCCCUAGCAAUGUUUAACCCUGCCGGUGAGAGGCUCUUGCAAAGCUGUUUCCUGCCUGUAAUUGAUUUGACGUCGGAAAGCUUUAAAGCCUCAAUGUACCUA